rnacentral:lncRNA from 1 species
CCACGACCCAUCUCAUUUUCUCUCCCUUGUUUUGCCUCUGUGACAACGCCCUUCAUCUAUCCUCUUCUUCAAUCUUCUUUCCUUCACUAGAAUUACACCAAAUUCAAUCAUGGGAAUACACAAUCAUGAAUGGGAAAUUCGGAAUUUGAGUUGAAGAGUUCUUGACAUAAGUUUUGGAUUUAGGAUUUAUGCUCUGAGGAAGGAGAAGAGUACCCACUCUACAAAAAUUUCACUUUGGAUGCUAUUGAAGUAUACCUUCAACCCACAAAUUUCAAUAAUAGUAUUAUAGCACAGUUUAUAAUUAAGUAGAAUUAUUUUUAGGGCUUUAUUUACACAUUUGAGAAUUUUAUGGUUGCUCAUGGGUAAUAUGUCAAAAGGGUAAUAAAUGCUGAAGGUUUGAAGUUGGUUCUGUGUUCAGAUUCGUCAGCGAGUGGAUCGUUCGGUGGUCGUAGGAUUGCUGAAAGCAAUCGUGGUUAUCCUUCAUAGUUGUGAGUGGUUUUCCAAUCACUGUGGCUUAUUUUUAAUAAUUAUAUAACUGAUGAUUUGAUUAUUUUAUCAUAUGGCUUAUUUAUUUAAAUUGGGGAAACAUGCUUUACAGUUCUUGAAUUAUCUGAAAGUUGGUUUUAUGAAGUUGAUUUGAGUCUGCUUAUGAACUGACAUGAGAAAGUAAUUUAUAUUGCUUUGAUUUUGGAAAUUAUGUGAAACUGAGAUUGUGAACUUGGAAAGUUGAUUUUGAGACUUUUG